rnacentral:lncRNA from 1 species
UACUUGCUGAAGGAGUUGUAGGAUCUGGCUAAUAUUUUCUUGAGUAAGUGACUUGACCCCGCAGUCUGUACUGCAUUUUGUUCAGUGCUGAAAGCAUUGUUACCUUGAACUGACCCUUGGUAUUUUCUUUGAUUUGUGAACUUGAAAUCUGAGGGAAAUCCAACAAGCACGUAGCAUUAUUCCACAACAUGACCUGGCUUCUUGCAGUAUGAACAAGUAAAGUUGUUUUUCUUUUCCUCAUACCCAAUUUUUUCCCUUUAAAAUCCCUCACAUUGUUUCUCUUACCCAUUGUUACAUGUUGUGCAGCAAUAAAUGAAGUUGAUUCUCCAGGAUAAACAGGAGAAAUAUGUAUUUCUCUUUAACCAUAGAGUAAGCUUGGCCAAGAGAAGGUAAGGAGGAAGUCAAUAGUAUGUUGAUUCUCACACCUAUGUAGGUGUCAUUCAGGCCCAUUAAAAAUUGCAGCAGUCUCUGGUCUUGGUGCAUUUUCAGAUUUUUUCUUUUAGCUCCACAUACACAUUCACAUGAACAAGUAAAAAAAUUGGUCAAGGUAUCUAGUUCAUCCCACAAACUUAUUAUUUUUGUAAAAUAACUUGAUACACUAGAGUUACCUUGAACCACAUCACUUAGUUCUUUCUACAGUUGAAAACGUUUAGCCCCAUUUGUCUGACCAAAUCUGUCUUCUAAAUCAUUCUACAGAUCUUUUGUACUGUAUGAGUACAGAACACUUUCUGUAAUUUCUUUUGAUAGAGAGUUAAGGAGCCAAGACAACACCAUGUCAUUUCCUCUAGCCCAAGCACUUUGAAGACUAGAGUUUUCAUCUGGAAUGGAAAAAGUUCCAUCUAUGAAACCUAGUUUAUUCUUGGCAGAAAGAGCUAUGACUACUGCUCUACGCCAAGCUCCAUAGCUUUUGCCAUCAAAAGUUGAGGAAACAAGAUUCAUGCUUGGGUAGUCUAAAGGAUGAAGAAAGAAAGAGUGUGUUGAAUCAAUCACACCUUUCUUGGUUGAAUCAGUUGUUGCAGCUACAACUUCUGUUGUUUCUCCCAUUAUAAGGAAUAGAGCAAACUUGAAAAAUGAAUAAGGGUUUCAAAUAUUAGGUUGGUCGACCUGCUCUUGAUACCAUGUAAAAAAUCGAAAAUUUUGAACCCAAUAUGAAUUAGUGUGUAUUGUCUUGAAAAAGAAAUAUAUGUACAAUGUAGCUAAUUUAUUCAAUUUACUCUAUGUAUUACUCCCAUACCUGUCCCAUACCUGUCCAUGUAUAAUUUGUCCUAUUGUGAAUAAAAAAU